UGUUAGUUAAAAUGAAUAGUUUGUUGGCAGUGUUAGUAAAAAUGAAUAGUUUGUUGGCAGUGUUAGUAAAAAGAAUAGUUUGUUGGCAGUGUUAGUAAAAAUGAAUUUUUGUUGGCAGUGUUAGUAAAAAGAAUAGUUUGUUGGCAGUGUUAGUAAAAAUGAAUAGUUUAUUUUGUGGAACAUCCUCAAACGUCAAACAUUUUGUGUUAAUAGUAAAAAUGAAUAGAUUGUUUGAUGGCGCCCAGUGACUAAGUAGAUUGUUGGAUAUAGUUGUGGGAAAAUAGAUUGUUCUCAACACUGUCACGCAUAUGCACGUCGCUAUAUCCAUUGUGAGUGCAAUAGUCAACGCAACGUUAGUCCCCAUCUCACCUCCCUUGCAUGCACCUAUUUGUUAGUACUUUCUGCUGAUCCGUGAUGCCAUUGUUAGCGGGUCACAGCUCAGUAACUUGUGUUCUUUAUUUGCAAAAAUCAAAAUUUGAAACUUAACGUUCCUUCCGAACGCAACAGAAAGAUACGGCCUGUCUUCAGACUAACAUCUUGUCUCUGACAUGAACAUUAUCUAAAAGAAAAGACAGUUGAUAAAUUAUCUUUAAAAAAUAAAAUAAAAAGAGGCUCUCUUCAUUUUCAAAUACGGCAGUAAUCUUGGCUUACCCACUUUUAUAGACUUGCGUGGGCUUUGUUAGAUAUAUUUGUUUCAGGAUCCGUAUGACAGACUAGCCUGACUUUUAAACGUCUCAUGUUUGAAUGAGAUUAAUUAUGAUUUGAAAUCUCCCAUCGACAAUCAGAUUCGGACUUUCCCCAAAUUUAUGGUAGAAUGAAUCAUAAUACUAAUCUAAAAUAGCAUCACUAUGUUUAUAUAUCCUUUCAAAUAAAUAUAUAAUAUCCUUGUAUAUAGUCACCACAAUGAGUUCAUCGUUUUGUGUUAUUAUGAAACAUGAUUUUAUGACUCAUAAUAACAAGUUUAUCUACCCCAGCACAAUAUAUGCAAUUAUAACAUUUACAAAUUAUUGCUGCAUUUUCAUUGGUCGGGAAAGGGUCACCUGACCUUCCUUAGAAUACGGCACUGCCCCGAGAUCCACCCUGCCGCGCAGCGAUCAAAAGUAGUUCUGACCUGCGUGAUUAAGCCAACUAGAGCUGACGCAUAGUGUAUUAUUUGAAAAAUGAUUUCAUUUAUAAUAUUCCAUUGUAUCGUAUACACCAAAUUCUAUCCACAAAUUGCGCCCACACUCAAUACUAUUCGCUGACGAGGCCUUUAGGGGAAUCCCCUUGUAGCAAUCUCAUAUUCUACCUCGUCGCUAUCAGCUUCGGACGGACUGUUACACAUGCUGCGAUGUAUUCAGUGUUACUGUGAACAUAUUAUCUUAAACAAUGUGAUUCUCUACAUAUUUGUGUGUGUUAAUACUCUGCUGGCAAUGGCCAGAAUGGACAUGAAGUCGGAACGGUGUAGACUGGGGACGUUCUCAAGAUGGGCGUAUGGAUCUAUACAACGACCCGUCGACCUUGCGGCAAACGGACUGUUUCAUACGGGCUAUCUAGAUAAGCUGUAACAAAGAUGAGGAUGACAUCCAAUCCAAGGUCCCUCCGAGUCCUCCUCCUUCACCAGCAAGGCGGACGAUUCAGGAUAAUAUCACUCAUCAUAUGGAAAGUGAGUCGGUCCAGGCGGUACUAGAAAUGGGC
rnacentral:misc_RNA from 1 species